AUGUAACAGCACAGAAGUGAGCCAGGAACACAGGAAAGAAGAGCUUUCAAGUGUGUGUGACAACCCAGGAGCGACCCUCCUCUCCAAAUCUGAUGGUGUCAGAAUUGUGUUGAAUUGUAAGGAACUCAGCUGGAGCUGCUUGGAAUUACCCCUCAUGGAAAUUGGUGACCAGAGUCCUCGUGGUCCUGACAGGAGGAAGAGCAGAAUGAACAACAGGGCCCCAUGUCUUAUGCUCUCCGUAUAUGUUGAGAAAGUUUCCUUUCUUUCCUUUUUUUUUGUCCUAAUUAAUAUUUCUUUUUGAAAAGUA